rnacentral:RNase_P_RNA from 1 species
UCAGGCGGUCGGAUGGCCGCGCGUGGGCAAUGGGGAAACCCGUCCAUGUGAGGAAAGUCCGGGCUCCACGGAAGUACGGUGCCGGUUAACGGCCGGCGGGGGCGACCCCAGGGAAAGUGCCACAGAAAGCAAACCGCCUGCCUUCGGGCAGGUAAGGGUGAAAGGGUGCGGUAAGAGCGCACCGCACCCCCGGCGACGGGGGUGGCAGGGCAAACCCCACCGGGAGCAAGACCGAAUAGGGGCGGCAUAUGGCGCAUUUCCGCGCCGUUGCCCGGGUAGGUCGCGCGAGGCGUUCGGCAACGAGCGUCCCAGAUGAAUGGCCAUCUCCCGUGAAAGCGGGGACAGAACCCGGCUUACAGACCGCCUGACGAU